CCUACGGGACGCAGCAGUGGGGAAUAUUGGGCAAUGGGCGCAAGCCUGACCCAGCAACGCCGCGUGAAGGAAGAAGGCUUUCGGGUUGUAAACUUCUUUUCUCAGGGACGAAGAAAGUGACGGUACCUGAGGAAUAAGCCACGGCUAACUACGUGCCAGCAGCCGCGGUAAUACGUAGGUGGCAAGCGUUAUCCGGAUUUACUGGGUGUAAAGGGCGUGUAGGCGGGGAAGCAAGUCAGAUGUGAAAACCACGGGCUCAACCUGUGGCCCGCAUUUGAACCUGUUUUUCUUGAUGACUGGAGAGG
rnacentral:rRNA from 1 species